rnacentral:lncRNA from 1 species
UGUGGCUCAGUGAUUGAGUGACCCUGAGUCCAAUCCCUGGCACCAUCACCUCCCACUCCCCACCAAAAAAAAAAAAAUUCUUAAGAUCUACUCCUGUGGUUGUUUCCUGGCUUCUUUACCAUGUAUGUCUAAGCUGAUUGGCGUUCCCAUGGGGAAAAUUGCUAUUUGUCCCACCACCUGAGCUCCUUAGGUGCAGCUGGGCCUCAGGAGUAGGAAAGAAGAUAUAAUUGCUAAUUAGUUGUGACUUCUUGGGAAAGAGUAUUUUUCAAGGGAAAGAGGGAAGAACAGAAGGUUGAGGACCUUGAAGAAUCCAAGAGUCAUUUAGGUACCACCCUAUGCAGCAGGUGACAGACAUAGUUUGGGAGCCUCAGACAGGUCAGUGCCUCUCUAAGAAACUCAAUUUCCUUUUCUACCCAAUGGGGAGAACAGGCCUGCUAAGAUAAAUUAAAUGAAAAAAUAACAGUGCAUCUAGGAUGCUGUUUCUUAGAUACAAACAGACUACAAAUUUCGAAUUUGCUUGAGUGUACAGAAAACCUCUAGAAAGAAGCACAGAUAACAACGUGUCUCCAGGAGUGAGAGCUAAGUGGCUUGGGACAGAGGACCAGAGUAUUCCUUUUUGUACCUUUUCUUCAUAGAAUUAUGAGGACCUGCUCAUAGAAUUAAGAGAGUAGUUUUUUGUUUGUUUGUUUUAAUUUUAUAUGUUAGGUAAUGUGUGCAUGUUAUGCAAGGUUUAGUGGAAGAUACAUCUCACAGAACGUGUGAACACUGAAUCAUCAUACUUAGGAACAGAAAAGAUCAAGUUUGUCAUUUUUAAAGCCCAUCAGUGUGUCAUUGAGGUGGUUGAGAAAUGGGGCAGGUAUGGUAAGGCCUCUAUGGCAGGUAGCAUGCAGGAACACAUGAACGUUUCAAUGUUAAGUGUCUGAACGUGCUCUAAAGAUUCCUGUGAUUCAUUUUGGAGAAAAAAGAUGAAACACAGCCUAAGCCACUAGGAUCUCCUGUCAGCAACCAGGAUGAGUCUGCCUGGUGGAACCCUUUUAUGGCCUACUACCACCCACACUCAUGCUCUGGUCUGGCCGCACAGGCCUUUCUACUGCAGAACCUGCCCGGCAAUACCUGCCUUUCCUAUGCAUUGCUUUCUCUUCCAAGAGCAUUGGCACCUCUGCCUUGGCUGAGGUCUUAAUAAGGUGCUUCUUGUUCAUCAGUUGGUUUCCAUUCUUGAAAUCAGGCUCUGAGCUGAUCUGUCCCUUGAGGCUUCUAGGGUUUUCUUUGACAGGAGGGAGAGGGAGAAGCUGAUUCAAAGGAUAUUUAUGAUAAAUGGAUAGCAAGUCCUAUUUGACAUGCUGGGUUUGCUGGCUGGUGAUAUGCUGCCCAGUGAAUAUGCUCAAAUGGACAAAAGGUGGGAUUUUGGACAGGU